UGGUUGGCGUAGCAAAGAUCUAACGGAAAACUAUUUAACAUGCAACGUUGGAUACUGGAGCGGGGAAGGAUUUCGUGCCAACGGCACUCGUACACGAGUUGUUCGGAUACUGAGCACAACGUUACACCGUUUUGUUAGGAAAGUAAGGUGCGUCGACAGUGUGUGGGAGUCUCUUCUUCUUUCCCCCUCUCUCCUUUUGGUGGGGGGUGUGGGAGGAAGAAGCCCCUUACUGUUCGGCCAUUCUGAAAAGGGGCAACAGAGAACCAA
rnacentral:rRNA from 1 species